rnacentral:rRNA from 1 species
UACGUAGGGGGCUAGCGUUGUCCGGAAUCAUUGGGCGUAAAGCGCGUGUAGGCGGUCCGGUAAGUCCGCUGUGAAAGUCGGGGGCUCAACCCUCGAAUGCCGGUGGAUACUGUCGGGCUAGAGUGCGGAAGAGGCGAGUGGAAUUCCUGGUGUAGCGGUGAAAUGCGCAGAUAUCAGGAGGAACACCAAUUGCGAAGGCAGCUCGCUGGGACGUUACUGACGCUGAGACGCGAAAGCGUGGGGAGCAAACAUG